rnacentral:lncRNA from 1 species
UAGGGAAAGAAAAAAAAUCCUCUCACUCAAACACUUUGCCUGUUUCAGUAGGGCAAGGGUGAUGGGGAGUUCAGGGGGCCGUGGGGGCUGCAUAGUUGCCCCCCAGGGAACAUGACUUGCGUGAAGGGUCACAGGUACCUCAGUGAGGGAGGAACCAGGCAACUUAACUUUGAUUGCAAAGUUUCUCAACAGGUACAUGUGAAAGUAUUGUUCUCCGGAUCCUGAAGCACAGUGGAUUUGCUUUUUUUUUUUAAUGGUUGCUCAAAACAUUACAAUGAUUUGCUUUUUACUUCUGCCUUUUGCUCUAUUCUCUUUUGGUGCUGGCUUUUAAAAUUUCCUUCUUGAUUUGUUGAUUGCUUCCUCUUGGUGGAAGACCUCAAAGUUUGGCGCACAGAUCCUGGCUCCAUCUUCGACAUCGAUCCCCUGGAAGACAAUAUUCAGUCUAGAAGUCUCCAUAUGCUCUCUGGUAUUGCUCACAUUCUGAGUUCCUCUCCUUUUAUGUGGUUUUGUCCUGAAAGUGAGUCUACUAUGCCUGUAGAAUUUCCUUGUAGCAACCGGGUAAUGUAAAGUUUAAAGUUGAGAAUUCUUAAACCUCCAUAAGCUCUCUGCUACUUUAAAAUACCAUUAAUUAUUUAUGAAAGUAAAACUUGCAAAGGAGCUUUUUAAUAAAUUCUAGAUUUGUUUGUCCUCG